rnacentral:rRNA from 1 species
CAGUCGCCACGGGAAUACGGAGGGUGCAAGCGUUAAUCGGAAUUACUGGGCGUAAAGCGCACGCAGGCGGUCUGACAAGUCAGAUGUGAAAUCCCCGGGCUUAACCUGGGAACUGCAUUUGAAACUGUCAGGCUGGAGUCUUGUAGAGGGGGGUGGAAUUCCAGGUGUAGCGGUGAAAUGCGUAGAGAUCUGGAGGAAUACCGGUGGCGUAGGCGGCCCCCUGGACAAAGACUGACGCUCAGGUGCGAAAGCGUGGGGAGCAAACAGGAUUAGAUACCCGAGUAGUCCCUGUCUCUUAUAC